GAUAUCAACUGAAAAAGUCAUCAUCAACAAAGUUGAAUAACUCAUCAUGAUCUAAAACUUUUAUUUUGGUCAUUUCUUCAUACGACAAAAUGAUAGUAACAUUGUUCACAAAAUUGACAUAUCUCUUAUCUGGUUUUAUAAACUAUAACACAUAUAUGUAAAAUUUGUGAAUAAUAUUACUAAUAUUUCAUCGGAUGAAGAAAUAACCAAAAUAAAAGUUUUAGAUCUUGAUGAGUUAUUCAACUUUGUUGUUGAUGACUUUUUCAAUUGAAAUC
rfam:Oryza sativa (indica cultivar-group) chromosome 4, whole genome shotgun sequence.